GACGAACGCUGGCGGCGUGCCUAAUACAUGCAAGUAGAACGCUGAAGGAGGAGCUUGCUUCUCUGGAUGAGUUGCGAACGGGUGAGUAACGCGUAGGUAACCUGCCUGGUAGCGGGGGAUAACUAUUGGAAACGAUAGCUAAUACCGCAUAAUAGCAGUUGUUGCAUGACAACUGUUUGAAAGGUGCAAUUGCCCCACUACCAGAUGGACCUGCGUUGUAUUAGCUAGUUGGUGGGGUAACGGCUCACCAAGGCGACGAUACAUAGCCGACCUGAGAGGGUGAUCGGCCACACUGGGACUGAGACACGGCCCAGACUCCUACGGGAGGCAGCAGUAGGGAAUCUUCGGCAAUGGACGGAAGUCUGACCGAGCAACGCCGCGUGAGGGAAGAAGGGUUUCGGAUCGUAAAGCUCUGUUGUAAGAGAAGAACGAGUGUGAGAGUGGAAAGUUCACACUGUGACGGUAUCUGACCAGAAAGGGACGGCUAACUACGUG
rnacentral:rRNA from 1 species